rnacentral:rRNA from 1 species
GUGGGGAAUCUUGGUCAAUGGGCGCAAGCCUGAACCAGCGACGCCGCGUGAGUGAUGAAGGCCUUCGGGUUGUAAAGCUCUGUGGGGAGGGACGAAAGAGCUCAGUCGAAUAGGCUGAGUGUUGACGGUACCUCCUUAGCAAGCACCGGCUAACUCUGUGCCAGCAGCCGCGGUAAGACAGAGGGUGCAAACGUUGCUCGGAAUCACUGGGCGUAAAGGGCGUGUAGGCGGGUAGAUAAGUCAGGCGUGAAAUCCCCAGGCUCAACCUGGGAACUGCGCUUGAAACUGUCUGCCUUGAGUGUCGGAGAGGAAAGCGGAAUUCCUGGUGUAGAGGUGAAAUUCGUAGAUAUCAGGAGGAACACCGGUGGCGAAGGCGGCUUUCUGGACGACAACUGACGCUGAGACGCGAAAGCGUGGGUAGCAAACAGGAUUAGAAACCCGGGUAGUCC